GACGAACGCUGGCGGCGUGCUUAACACAUGCAAGUCGAACGGAAAGGCCCUGCUUUUGUGGGGUGCUCGAGUGGCGAACGGGUGAGUAACACGUGAGUAACCUGCCCUUGACUUUGGGAUAACUUCAGGAAACUGGGGCUAAUACCGGAUAGGAGCUCCUGCUGCAUGGUGGGCGUUGGAAAGUUGCGGCGGUUGGGGAUGGACUCGCGGCUUAUCAGCUUGUUGGUGGGGUAGUGGCUUACCAAGGCUUUGACGGGUAGCCGGCCUGGGAGGGUGAACGGGGACAUGGGGACUGAGAUACGGCCCAGACGGCUACGGGAGGCAGCAGUGGGGAAUAUUGCACAAUGGGCGGAAGCCUGAUGCAGCGACGCCGCGUGCGGGAUGACGGCCUUCGGGUUGUAAACCGCUUUCGCCUGUGACGAAGCGUGAGUGACGGUAAUGGGUAAAGAAGCACCGGCUAACUACGUG
rnacentral:rRNA from 1 species